GACGAACGCUGGCGGCGUGCUUAACACAUGCAAGUCGAACGGAAAGGCCCUGCUUUUGUGGUUUUCUCGAUUGGCGAACGGGGGAGUAACACGUGAGUAACCUGCCCUUGACUUUGGGAUAACUUCAGGAAACUGGGGCUAAUACCGGAUAGGAUCUCCUGCUGCAUGGUGGUGGUUGGAAAGUUUCGGCGGUUGGGGAUGUACUCGCUGCUUAUCAGCUUGUUUGUGGGGUAGUUGCAUACCAAGCCUUUGACGGAUAGGCGGCCUGAGAGGGUGACCAGCCACCAUGGGCCUGAGAUACGGAGCAGAAGGGAACGGGCCGCAGCAGGCGGGAGCCUUACAGAACGGGGCGGCGUCUGAUGCAGCAAUGUCGGGUGCGGGAUGCCGGCUUUUGGGUUGUAAACAGAUUUCGAAUGUGACGAAGCGUGCGUGACGGUAAUGGGUAAAGAAGCCCCGGCUAACUACGUG
rnacentral:rRNA from 1 species